UAACACAGAGCUUUCUUGCUGCAACAAAAGAAAGAGGCAGAGCAGUUCCAGAUAACAACAAAGGACAAGAAACACCUUCUCUCUGAGGACAAAGACCUCCCUCAUGCACAAAAAAGAACAGUUCUUGUGGCUACAUGUCUACCUACCUCUUCACUGUAGCCAUAGCAUCACUUCUGUAAUCAGAGUCCCAAUUUCCUGUGGGAGACAGUGAAUUCCCUGCCGCCUUUAGACCUCAGGAUCCCACAUUGCAUUUACUUGGCAUAUCUCUUUGGUCUCCACCAGUCUGUGACAAUUUCUCUGUAUUUUUUAAUCUAUCAUGACCCUGACACAUUUGAAGAGUAGUAGUCAGGUAUUUUGUAGAAUGUCCCUCAAUUUAAGCCUGUCUGAUCUUUUCUCAUGACUAAAUUAAGGAUAUGGAUUUUUGGGAAGAAUACCACAAAGGUGACGUGCCUUUCACUCACAUCAUAUCAAGAGGGCUAGUUUUAAUAACUAUCAGAAGAACCAGAUGCAAGUCUUGGUUGUAUAAGAUUAAGCUGGGUAAGUGUGGAUAAGUCAUUUUGUCUCUCUAUCUUAACUUAAAUAAGCAUUUAAUUUCCAUUUAAAAUAACUUUAUUUGACAGUACUUUGUAAAUAAUAAAUUAACAUCAAAAACUACACAGUUAAUUCAUUAGCUGCUUCUGUGUAUAAUAUAGAUAAAUGAUUUUUUAUUGAAACCAUCAAUAAAAAAUUAUUGAGAACUAUUAUAAACGUUGGAUAAGAUGUGAGCCUGUUCAAGAAACUUAGCUAUGGCAUGAUGAAUGUUUUAUUAUUAGAAACCAAGCCCACUUGAACUCAUUGAUGUUGCCAUGAUGUAACUUAGCAGUCUGGUAUAAUAUUUGAGGACACAAAGGCGAGACUCUGACUCUUCAUAUUCUAGAUGACAUCUCCAAAACUAGCAGCACUACCUCAGGCAUGUGAUUUAACAUCUCCUUGAUCUUCAGUUUCUUCACCUUUAAAAUGUGAUAACAAUCAUUUUUUUUUGUGAAGUUUCUGUGAAGAUUAAAAGAGAUCUUCUAUAUAAAGCAUACUGCAUGGUGUCUAUCCUAUAAUAGACAUAGAAUAGAUAGCUAUUAUUUUAAUUUUUUCAGACAUUUGUUGAAUAUUCCAUGAAGAAAAAUUUGGAAAUUCUGUAAAG
rnacentral:lncRNA from 1 species